rnacentral:lncRNA from 1 species
AGGGAUCUACACAGCCUCCAUCUCCCUAACUUGACAGAAUGCAUGAAUAGGUGUCCAGGGAUGGGCAAUCACAAGUCUACGGGAGAAUAGAAGAAAGGAAGGAAGAACACUGGUCCCAACAGAUGCUUCACUGGAGCCAACAUCAGCCAAAGAGAAAAGUUGGAAGAAUAACUUCCCGAAAAACAGAAAACUCUCUUUUGUUCUUGGGAGUCAGUUCAAACCUUAAUCGAGGGGCUAGGAACCGGAAGAGAGGAAAGGACGAGGCACACCUGUUGCCUGGGGAGCGGUGACGCGCUGCACUACUUGGAGAGUUCAAUCACUGAAGAGACUGUUACAGAAAGCCACGGCCAGUAAGAAAGAAGAGUACAAAUGACUGUGGAAUAUCCAGCCACAGCUUGGAUACCUACAAGCAAUCAAUACACCUAGAGCUCAGGGAACAUCACAGAAGAGGAUGUAGAAAGUCUGUAAGACCCAGAGGACCAGGACAGGACAUCUACUGAGAGAUAAUGUCCUAUGUGCAACAUGAAGGCUGCAUCCAGGAAAUCUCAACAAUAUGGCCAUACCUAACAAGGUUGAAAAAAAUGAUGAUACCAAUCUGCAUGUACCAUACAACAAGAAAACACGUGACUCUCUGUUGCAAAUCCCACACAGUCAACACAGUGUGCUUAUUGAUUUUGCCUAGUCAUAUAGUUACAAACAGGCAAAACAGUACAGUUCUGACCCGAAUAUUAAUUUGUGUU